rnacentral:rRNA from 1 species
AUGGUUGUCGUCAGCUCGUGUCGUGAGAUGUUGGGUUAAGUCCCGCAACGAGCGCAACCCCUAUUGUUAGUUGCCAUCAUUCAGUUGGGCACUCUAGCGAGACUGCCGGUAAUAAACCGGAGGAAGGUGGGAUGACGUCAAAUCAUCAUGCCCCUUAUGACCUGGGCUACACACGUGCUACAAUGGUUGGUACAACGAGUUGCGAGUCGGUGACGGCGAGCUAAUCUCUUAAAGCCAAUCUCAGUUCGGAUUGUAGGCUGCAACCUCGCCUACAUGAAGUCGGAAUCGCUAGUAAUCGCGGAUCAGCACGCCGCGGUGAAUACGUUCCCGGGCCUU